UUUUUGUUUUUUGUUGUUGUUGUUUGUUUUGUUGAGUCAGGGUUUCUCUGUGUAGCUCUGGCUGUUCUGGAACUCACUCUAUGGACUAAGCUGGCCUGGAACUCACAGAGAUCCACCUGCCUCUGCCUCCCGAAUGCUGGGAUUAAAGGCGUGCACCGCUGCUACCUGGCUGGGACAGAGAACAAUAAUAUCUAUAGUUGAAAUUAAAAAGCUGAGAAUUUUCUACAUCGUUUGGGCAUUUUUAAGUCUCUUAUGGUGUAUAUAUAAGCAAUUAAAAAAACCCCUUUUGAAAGACAAAUAGUUUUAUUCAUCUGUAUGUGAAUUUUCUCUAUGCCCUGGUUUAAGUCUGAGUAAACAUCUAAUCAUCUCCCCACACUCCCCCAGACAGGGUCUUGCUAUGUGGCCAACACUGGUUUUGAUCUCCUAAUCCUCUUUCCCAACCCCCUGAAUCUUGGGGAUGAUAGGAAUGUACCACGCACUUACAUUUUGUGAACAGUCAUUCUAGUAAAGGUAUUUUCUCUAUUUUUAAAGAGACAUUUAUUCCCUAGUAAUUAUUUUUGUGUAGGGAUGUUUUAUCUGUAAGCAUGUCUGUUUAUCACGUGCCUGCAUGGGACCCUCAGAGCCCAGAAGAGGAUGUUGCUCCCUGGAACCGAAGUUACAAAUGGUUCUGAGCAGCUCUGUGGGUGCUAGAAAUGAAAAC
rnacentral:lncRNA from 1 species